ensembl:lncRNA novel transcript
GAGGCUGCUGGGUCCAAGUUAGGCAAGCCUGGGCCUAGGGAGUUAGAUUCACUCCAGACUCAGUGGGAUAUCUCAUGGCGUUUAGCAACUAUCUGGUAGCCUUCUGCUUCCCUGGCUGACUCCCGUGCAGGGGAGCUCGAGUUGCUGUGAGCUACCCAAUCUCUGGACCUGCAGUAAAGUGAACAUCAAGCAGAUUGUCAAGAGAAGGUCCUACAGUGGAAUGAUGUUUGGAGAAGAAAACUUCCAAGAUGCCGUAAUUGACUAAUUUACCUCCUGUUCCUCUACAACUUAUAGGAGAAUCACAACCAGCACGCACGUGUACAGAAAGGCCAUUUGAGCACACAGCAAGAAGGCAACUGUCUACAAGCCAGGAAGAGAGCCUUCACUAGAUACUGACCAUGCUGACAUCUUGAUCUUGGACUUCCCAGACUCCAGAACUGCACACAUCAAGGAAAGGCUGUGUGAGGACACAGGGAGAAAGCAUCAUCUACAAACCAGGAAGAGAGCCCUUACUAGAAACCUAACCCUACCAGCACCUUGACCUUGGACUUCUACCCUACAGAACUGUGAGAAAUAAAUUUCUGUUGUUUAAGCCAUCAAGUCUGUGAUAUUUUAUGAUGGCAGCCUGAGAAGACUGAUAAAAAGCUAAAACACAUUUAAAUGAAAAAAAAAAUAUUUAUUUAUAUAAUGUAAAUAUCUUCCAGCUUGAUAGCCUCUGUGGGUGACUGCAUUUUGGCUGCCACAAUAUCUCCCCUCCCACAUGUACAUCUACCACGUGACAUUGAGUAUCUCCCAUCCCACACGUUUAUCUACCACGUGACAUUGAAUUGUCACCAAUCAAGAUGUACAAUCUGUGACUUUCCCUUUGGAAUUGCACAAACUUAUGUCUCAUUAGUAACCAGUGUGGUAGAAGUGAUGCUGUGUGCCUUCUGAGGCUGGGUCAUGAAGACAAUGCAGUUUCCAACUUGAGAGUUGGAGCACUUGCUUUAGGAGUGCUGUCACCAAGAAGGUUUGGAUACCCUAAGGCUGCCAUGUUGUGAGGAAGCCCAGGCCAGUGGAGAAGCCACUUUUGGAUGCUCAGCUUACUGUCAAGCACACAGGAAGUAUGAAAGAGAAGGUCCCAGAUAAAAGUCAACACCAAUAUCCCAACAUGUGAAUGAAGACACCUCUUGAUGAUUUCAAAGCCCAACAAUCAUCAAGUCACCCCUAGGAUAGUAUUUCUGGGAGGUCCACAAUUGAUCUCUCACAUGUACUCACAUAUUGGUUUCUGCUGUCAUCACAUGAUCAAUCAUCACCACUGUUGUUCCUCUGCUGCCUGGAGGUUCUCCAUCCCUGCCUUUGCCCUUCCCUCACACUCUCAUUUCAAGGUCCCUGUCAAAGAGGAAUGAUUUAACAGCUUUCAGGAUUUGGCAACUCCAAUGCCGCUGAAGACUGAGUGUGGAAGAGGCCCCAUUGCCAAUUUUCAGCCAUACUUUGUCACUUGGGCUCCAAAGCAACCUAGAAAGUCACAAAAGCUACUCCUGGGCAAUUUUCUGCCAACUCUAGUAGCCGUGCUUAUUCAAUAACAAUUAUAUAAUACUCAAUGUGAGACAGUUACUAUUUCCAUCACUUAAAAAGAUUAACCUACCUUUACAAUAACCUUAUGAGUUUUGUUAUUAUUUUGUUUUACAGAAGAGGAUACUGAGAUUUAGCAAGGCUAAAUAACCAGCUUAGGGUCACCCAGCUAGGAAGUAGUAGAGCUAGUGUGUGUGCAUACACUGGCACAUGCAUGCUCAUAUGUGCAUGUGUACUUGUAUCUUUCUCUGCUGUGUAUACUUGGAAGCAGGUUUUGGCUUGCCUGAGUCUAUGGAUGGAGGUAAGAGCAGCCAAUAUUUAUUGCAAGAGAUAAACAAACCCUAACCCAGCCAAGCUUUAAAGUGUCUGGGGUUUUAAGAGCUUUCCAGGCCCUUUGACGAAACCCAUCAGGCCAGAGUAAUGAUGCUGCGGUUUGCCAUUCAUUCUUAUUGGGUUUAAUGAAGAUAAAGGAGCUCUCUUUAUGUGUCCAGUUGGGCUUAACAAAUUAACCAGGCUGCCGGAGGGGUACAUGUGAACAGAAUAUUUGUCCUCAUAAUGUUCAUUAGGAGGGAGAAAGUUAACUAACCUUUUGUUCUGUAUUUCUUUUCCUAAAGCCCAGUGAAAACUGCAGAGCUGAAACAUCAUCGCUAAUCUUAUUUCUGACGGGCCUUUUUCUAACUUCUCCUUUUAUGAUCAUUUCACAGCUGUUAUAUUGAAUCAGUAUCAUUAUGUGUUUAAAAAAAAAAUUAUGCUCUGUGUCUCAGAGCUAACUGUCCAGAACUAAACAUCCUGGCCCCCUUUGGACAAUGACAGGCUGUCAGAGAACUGGAAAGGGGAUUGGGUUGGUUUGUUUGCUUCUUGUGUCCUCUUGACAGCUCCUGGUGAAUGAAGGAAAGCUGCGAUGAUCAGAUUUUUGCUAUGGGUUUACAACAUGACUAUAAGCAAAUCCCUGUAGCAAAUUGCAAAAAUGGCCCCCAAGUCCUGAAUGCACACCCCUUUCCAGUGGGAUUUUGCCACAUCUCUCAUUAACAGGUGGAGUCCCUAUUUCACACUUUGAAUCUGGAAUUAGUAAUGGGAUUUGCUUUGUCCAAUGGGAUGUCAGCUGAGGCUUGAAAGGCACUUGUUGGAGUUUGCUUUACCAUGCUGCAUCUAUAAUCUUGAGACCCUCACGUUACCCGGCCUGAGCUAGCCUGCAAGAAAAUGAGAGAAGAUAAGGAGAAGAAACAAAGUACAAUGGUUGAUGGUCACCCUUGUUAAUUCAACUGAUAGACUUCCAACUGCUAGACAAGUGAGGGUGGCCACCCUAGAUCACUCAGCCAUCAGCCCGCAUGCCAACUGAUCACAGAUGCAUGAGAGCCCAGCAGAGAUAAGCCAUGCUAACCCAGGCAGAAGUAUCACCCAACUGACACACAGAAUCAUGGACUA